rnacentral:lncRNA from 1 species
GGGCUUUGGAAUGUACAAAGUUUAUUGCAUGUGUUCUUGUAGGUGCUCUGUGAUUGGAUUUUUCAUAAGCUUGGUCAUGAUCCGAAGGCAUGAUAACGUAGAUACUAUUGCUUGCACUCAGCCAAGCACAUUCAUGAUUUUGUUUUGCGCCACUAUCGCCCUGGCAGAGAAGUUUGGUUGUUGCUUGGUCAUCCUUUAAAAUAG